AUCUGAUUCCUCUCCUACCAGUUCUUGCAGGGCCUGGAAUUUGUUUCUCAACAUUACGCUAAAUUUGUCCCUUAUUUGUGUGUCUUUAUGAAAUCCUACGUUGUAUUUGUACCGUGCUAUUAAUGCUGAUGUCCUGUUCUUUUUCAGUUUCAGUAGAAAUUUACCUAGAAGGAGGUGAUGGUCUGAUGCCACAUCUGCUCCUUUUCUCACUUACAUGUCUAAAAACAGAAUGACUUACAGAAUAACGAAGUGGAAAGUUAAGAUCAUCUUACUGCAGCAAAAUCACCAAAGUAUUCCAUCACCUGCAGACUUGGAAAAGCUCACCAGUGAUGAGCUAGGUGUAUCUGUUCAUGAGUUACAGAGACCAGAAGAAGAUACUUUCAAACAUUCAGAAAUUGACCUUAAUGUAAGUCUUGGUGAAUUAAAUCAGUUCACAAGCCAGUGUUAUCCAAGACUUACAUUACAUUUGAUUGGAUUCAGCAUGGCAAGAGUAGACAAAAACAGAAGGCUUACAAGAUUGGUUGUUUCUUCAGUGAAUGAUCUUAAAAAGAAAGUUGUCUGAAGUAAAUUGUAUAUUAUUCCUCAUUCCUACAUAUCUCCU